ACCUGGGUGGCUCAGUCAGUUGAGCGUCCGACUUUAGCUUGGGUCGUGAUUUCACAGCUUGUGGGUUCGAGCCCCACAUCGGGCU
rnacentral:tRNA from 1 species